GACAGAGGGUGCAAACGUUGUUCGGAAUUACUGGGCGUAAAGCGCGUGUAGGCGGCCAUCUAAGUCGGGCGUGAAAUCCCACGGCUCAACCGUGGAAGUGCACUCGAAACUGGAUGGCUAGAGUCCUGGAGAGGAAGGUGGAAUGCUUGGUGUAGAGGUGAAAUUCGUAGAUAUCAAGCGGAACACCGGUGGCGAAGGCGGCCUUCUGGACAGUGACGACGCUGAGACGCGAAAGCGUGGGGAGCAAACAGG
rnacentral:rRNA from 1 species